CAGUAAGCAUUCCGCCUGGGGAGCACGGUCGCAAGACUCAAACUCAAAGGAAUUGACGGGGACCCGCACAAGCAGUGGAGUAUGUGGUUUAAUUCGAAGCAACGCGAAGAACCUUACCAGGCCUUGACAUCCCUCUGACCGGUUUAGAGAUAGACCUUUUCCUUCGGGGACAGAGGAGACAGGUGGUGCAUGGUUGUCGUCAGCUCGUGUCGUGAGAUGUUGGGUUAAGUCCCGCAACGAGCGCAACCCUUGAUCUUAGUUGCCAGCACGCAGAGGUGGGCACUCUAAGAUGACUGCCGGUGACAAACCGGAGGAAGGUGGGGAUGACGUCAAAUCAUCAUGCCCCUUAUGGCCUGGGCUACACACGUACUACAAUGGUCGGUACAACGGGAAGCGAAGGAGCGAUCCGGAGCCAAUCCUCAAAAGCCGAUCUCAGUUCGGAUUGCAGGCUGCAACUCGCCUGCAUGAAGUCGGAAUUGCUAGUAAUCGCGGAUCAGCAUGCCGC
rnacentral:rRNA from 1 species